CACGGGGCUGCUGCCCAAAAGCCUGAGCGAGCGGUUUGUUCUCACAGCAGCUCCCUGGGUACACUAGAAACCCCUGCUACAGAAUAACGAACUGUUUUCUGCUGUAAAUAUUUUCCUCUAGGAUCAUUAAAUAUUCUAGUAAAACGCAGGAAUUGCAGAAUGUAUGGAAGGCAACCAGACAGAAUGGAAGAAGAACAGUAAAAUACUUGUGUUUGGGGAAGGGGGCAGGUAGAAAGAAGGCAAUAUCUCUUUAAUGCAGGUCCCAAGGAUUUGAAGAAUUUGAUUUUGAUGACCAUGAUGAGUUAAUUAGAAGCCACAUUCCUUGUCACCUCAGAACAAAAGCUAGUCACUAGUAACCUUGAAACACUAUCUAUUUCAUGGAACCGUGUAAACAAGGAGCUGACAACUUUUACAAGGCAAUUGUGCUGAACUGUGCAGUACAAGAAGUGGGAAAAUAAGUGUCACCAUUAUGAUGUGCAAGCAAAGUUGUUGAAAGUCUCACUCCAGUCAGAAAACAUCCUGUAACUUUUUGCCUUUUCUGCCACAUUUGCUCUGCAGAUGCUGAAGAUUCUCCAAAUCUCAUAAAGUUAAAUAAGGUCUUCAAAUAAUUUCUCACUGAUAACAAGGAGGAUGUCAAGCCAUGACUUGAAGAUUCUGGGAGUUACCUAUUUCUUUGCCAUUGACACUUACUCUCUUUGCACACUACCUUUUCACUUAUUUUUGGUUAAUCCUUUUUUGCUUCAGCAAAUCCUGUCCAGGAAACUCUGCAAUUAAUUUUACCUAGCUCAACCAGGCAGUACUGAAGGAUGUACAGAAAUAAUAGCUAUUAUUUUUGAGUUUGCCUUUAGCAUAAAGGCAGCAAAAAUAAAUCUGUAUUUAUUGACAUGGACAUGUUCAGGAGAUCCUGUUCAUGUCCAACAAGACAAAAUUGAAUAACCAGUGUGCCAAAAUCCCUGUAAUUGGAAUUAUCUCUCUCUUCCUCUUGAAAUGUAGGUUAUAAAACUAAUAGUUUAUACCAGAAAAAUAGUCAUUUAACUUUUCAUGUUUAUGACAAUGAGUGAUAGCUAUACUGCAUUAAAUAAGUGUUUUGUUCUUCUAGAAAACUUUUCUAGAUUUGAUCAAGAAUAGAUAAAAAGGAUGUCAAAAAUUCUAUCAGAAUUGACAGGAUUCCUAUUGAAGAGGUACCAUUCAUCAUUGAUUGAGCUUAUUAAGUUACUCAGAGGCUGUGCAGGAGUUUUAGGGAUUCUAAUACUUUCUUUGUUCCACAGUUCUACUCAAAAGAGACUUCACUAAUUCUACUACAGCAGUGGUGCAAAAAACAGCCAUGUGAAAGAACCAGACCUAUUGAAGCACAAGGACUGUUACAGCUACAGACAGUGAAGCACAGGAGACAUUGUGUAGUAACUGCAAGGGACUUGGAUCAUUGCAUAUUUCCCUGAUAGUCUGAUAACCUUGGCAGACAGAACAGCCUAUUUCCCAUCUUCAGCCUUUCUCACCAACGCCAGUGGUUUCCCUUUCUCCAGAAAGAGAGCUACAAAAUAUUGCAAACAAGCUAUCUUAGCAAUAAGAAUGAAGACAACCUAUUUGCAAAGACAAUCUGUAGAAAUACCUCUACACUAGCAGAAAAAGAAAUGCUACAUUAAACUGUUAGGAGAGUUCACACAUUAAUAUCAAUCACUGUACUUGUGUGGUUUUAAUACACUAAGUUAAUCUGAUGAGGAGUCACUUAACAGACAAAGUAAAAAAGUGGAAAUAAACAACACUCAAAAAUACAUGGACUUGAAACUGAUCUUAAUUUUUUGGUAACACAGGAUUAUUAACACUGCAAAACUAAAAUGCAAACAGGUAUUUCAGCAGGAUUAGAUUGUAUAGCAUUUGUAACCCAGUGUAGGAGAAUAGUGCAUUCUCCUGUCACUGAAAAGGUAGUGAAAUACAGUAUUAGAAUUAUUGUGGUAUCUAUAUGCACAUUUUCUAAUAUGAAUGAUGUGUCAUAAACAUAACUCAUUCUAUUACUGCAUGAUUAUGUUGAAAUACUAUAACAUGGUCAUAAAUGAAGAGAAAUUAUGUUGAAUUGCUUGUUCUAUUGAAAUAGUCUUCAGGAUGAUCAGAAUUAAAAUAGGGACACUUAGUAAAUACUUAGUAAAUGCAGCAAUGGUUUUAUUCUUUGAAAAGUGUCAAUUGUAUGUGAAAAUGAAACUGCAGAUGUACUUCAAUAUUUAUCACGCCAGGUAUUUCAUUCACAUUGUAGAAAAUAGCCAUAUCAAUGGCAGAAAUGAGGUAUGAAGUUAGCUUGUGUAGUGGAUAAGCUGGCAGGAAAAGAAAAAAAUUGCAGUCUAUAAAUCCCCAAAUGAAAAAUACAAUAUAGGGCUUCAUAAUGCCUUAUCAUUGAGAUGAAACUAUGAACUGGAGGAGCCAGACAGAAAAAUGAAUAUGUUUAAUGGCCUCUUUGUAUUGGAAAACACCCUACAUAAUUCAGACACGUUACAGUUUUCUGGCUGUUUGUAUAAAACAUGUUGAGGUAAACUGUGAGUGAAAUAGUUGUGGAUAAAUAACCAGAAUUGUCUCAAGAUUAAAACUGAUUCUGAAAGACA